GUAAAAACGGGCGCAGCAGCCGUGUUAUGACGUAUGGGGCGGGCGUUAGCCGGAAGGAUUAGGCAUAAAGUGCAGCUAGGCGGCCAAUCAAGUCAGGGGUGAAAACUUACGGCUCAACCGUGAGCCUGCCCUUGAAACUGAGGGGCUGGAGUGCCGGAGAGGUGGGCGGAACUACACGAGUAGAGGUGAAAUUCGUAGAUAUGUGUAGGAAUGCCGAUGAUGAAGAUAGCUCACUGGACGGCAACUGACGCUGAAGUGCGAAAGCUAGGGGAGCAAACAGGAUUAGAUACCCGAGUAGUC
rnacentral:rRNA from 1 species